CGUGGUCUUGGUGUAGCUCUAACUUUUUGUCUCAUGUCAUGGUCUUGGUGUAGCUCUAACUUUUUGUCCCAUGUACACUCAAUAUCCAUAAUACGGGUGCUUUUUUUUCUGUUUAGAAUUGAUUAUUAUUUCCCUCUAUCCAAGCAAAAAGAGGUUGUUUGUUGUCCAAUAAUUUUAGGUAUAUUGAAGAGUCGUUCCGAGCAAAAUUUUCGACAGACACAAUCUUGUGGGUAAAGUACACCCCACUGCUAGUCUCCGCCGGGGGCUCACUGGGCUAUGUCUGUCGGGAUUUUUCUCGGGACCAAUUCUUUGUAUACGUUGAGUUGUUACUAUCCUUACAUUUUGGAUUUUGGAAUGUCUUGUUACAAAACGAGUUUAAUAUAGUUCUAAGAUGGUUUAUGUUUGCCUUUUCCAUUGUAUCAAUAUUUAUGUUGAAGAAAAAAAAGUUGAGUCGCUAUGACACUAAUCCUCAUAACAACCACUCUAAUCCUCAUAACAACUUAAAUGUGCACCUAGGCACCGUAAGAUUCUCGGCAUGAUUUUUCUUCCGAGGGAAGCACAUGAUUUAUAGCCUGUUUGAAUAGUAUUUGACAAGUUGCUUUUGAACUGUUUGAAGUCGAAAAGUCAGAAGUUAAUUUGGCGACAUAAUUUUAAAAUGACUUUUAGAAGCAAAAAAAAUAAUAGCACGAGAAGUCAGAAGUGCAUCAAAAGUUAACUUUUUUGCUUCUAGAAGUCGUUUUAAAACUCGAUACCCAAACUAACGUCUUGAUUUUUGACUUCUAGAAGUCAAAAAGUAACUUCCACACUCAAAACUUUUGUAACUUUCACACUCGACUUUUUUUUUGUAGCAUAAAAUUUUUGUUUCUGACUUUUGCUUCCGCUGAAACAAAAUUUUGACAGUUUUUUAAUUAAUUUUGCUUGCCCUUGAUUUUAAUGAAUAUUAGAACUCAGUUCAAAACAAGAACAUGUGACAAUAAUCUCAUGGCAGUGAUAGAAUGAUUAUGAUGCCAAUGCUUCACUUUAUCAGGUGUUUUCUUACAACAGAUUAGGAUAUCUGAAGUAAAGUGAAGGCUGUAUCAUCCUUUGCAGUUGUGCAUGGCACAUGCCAAUGGUGCAGCAAUUGAAAACCAACAGAGAUUAGUUUUAUCAAUUGGUAUUGGCCAGACAACUGUAAGGGUGAGGUGGCCACGGAUUACGGGUUUAAUUCAGUUCAGAUCAAACAACACCAAAACAACCCCCUCACAUUGGAAUGGGAUCUACCCCAAAAAGGAUCCCCUGCCCACUUUAAUGUGACGGUUGUUUUUAAGUUGUUUUUUUUUGUUGUUCGUCUAGAAUCACUCUUUCUACUAACUCCAUUUCACUCUUUCAAUUGCAUUUCAUUACUUUUUUUUUUUUGAUGGAUAAAGAGAGAUUUGGGUUUCCAAAGUAAUUUGCAAAACAGGUUAACAGACCGUCUGAAAGAAGAGGUAGCUACGGGUCAUGGUGUCUUGCGGGAGUGGCUUCUCUGGGUAUGCCAAGCACUCUUUAGUCCAGAAAAUUAAAAUUCCCUUUUUGUUGAAUGCCCGAAGAACUGCUGCAGAUUCUUUCCCAACCCUGUACAAAUCCAAUCAUGCACAGGAGUUGCAAAAAGAUGCUUAAGAUGGAUGUCAACUUUGUGGAUUCAGAUGCUGUUAACAUUUGUCAGGGAAAUUGAAGAGUUCGGAUCCAGGAAAACCAUGGCGCUGUGCCCUGGAUGGAAUAACAUUGUUGUCAAUAGUAAGAACAAAAAUUGGAAAGCGCAUGCCGAGUAGGAAUGCUACACAGAAACCUUGACGAACAAAUUUGCUGGUUCUGGAAGGUGGUAGAGGGUAUGUCUAUGGAGCAGGAGAAGGAGCUUCUUUUAUUUUGGACCUCAUUGAAAUGCCUACAAGUAAAUGGUUUUUCUGGCUUGCCUUAUCUUUUGACCAUAUACGAGGCACCUGGUUCUGAUGAGCGCCUGCCAUCAUCCCAUGCAUGCUUCUUCCGAGUUGUCACUUCCACACGACAUCAUCUCUCUUUUAUCUGCCAACAACAUGUAGGCUGUGUUUCUGGGCUUGUAGAUCUCAUAUCCUGAUCAACAGGACAACUCGCUGUACCCAACCUACAAUAUCUCCAGCAUUUGUAGUUCUGAAAAUUGAAUGUUCAAUCUGAAUGCUUGAAAUAGUAUUUCAUUUUGUAUUG